rnacentral:rRNA from 1 species
GUGCCAGCCGCCGCGGUAAUACCUGCAGCACGAGUGGUGGCCGCUAUUAUUGGGCCUAAAACGUCCGUAGCCGGUUUUGUAAAUGCCUGGGUAAAUCGGACCGCUUAACGGUUCGACUUCCGGGUAGACUGCAAGACUUGAGACCGGGAGAGGUUAGAGGUACUCCUAGGGUAGAGGUGAAAUUCUGUAAUCCUAGGGGGACCACCGGUGGCGAAGGCGUCUAACCAGAACGGCUCUGACGGUGAGGGACUAAGCCCUGGGGCGCAAACCGGAUUAGAUACCCGGGUAGUCC